rnacentral:rRNA from 1 species
UACGGAGGGUGCAAGCGUUAUCCGGAUUUACUGGGUUUAAAGGGUGCGUAGGCGGGCCUUUAAGUCAGUGGUGAAAUCUCCCCGCUCAACGGGGAAACUGCCAUUGAUACUAUUGGUCUUGAAUUUAGUUGAGGUGGGCGGAAUGUGUCGUGUAGCGGUGAAGUGCUUAGAUAUGACACAGAACACCGAUUGCGAAGGCAGCUCGCUAAACUAAUAUUGACGCUGAGGCACGAAAAGCGUGGGGAUCAAACAGG